GUAGUACUCCCUCCGUUCGGAAAUACUUGUCCAAAAAAUGAAUAAAAUGGAUGCAUCUAAAACUAAAGUAUGUCUAGAUACAUCCAUUCCUCCGAAAAGUAUUUCCGGACGGAGGGAGUACUUU
rfam:Triticum aestivum genome assembly, contig: Triticum_aestivum_CS42_TGACv1_scaffold_249415_3DL